UAAAUCAAACGCAGCUCCCAUUUAUUCUUCUUCUUCACAAAGCCACUAACUCAUCUCAUCUCCUCUCUUCUCUGAGAACCAUAGAAGCCACCGCAGCCCCUAAUCGCGCAGCCACCAUAGCCCGCCACCACAGCAUCCCACAGCCACCGCCGUGAUGGGUUUGACCACCGCAGCCCCCUACCGCGUCGUUGUCAUCACCGAGCUCGCCUUCUCUCUAUCCACCGGUGUUGCGUCCUCUGUCGUUGCUGUUGCUCGCCUUCCACCUCGCCGUCGUCUUGUUCCAUUGACACACGUAGGGCAAGGAUUCAUGCCUAAACCAAUAGUGUAGACGAGAUUUCUAUCAACUUUGAGAGGAACAAGAGCAGGGAAGUUGAAGUUGAGGAAGAGAA